UGUAUAUGUCAGCAGGAAGAAUUUCCAUUCAUUGAAUGAUCAGAUCAUCUGCAAUGCCCGUAUGCAACUACUCAAUGCAUGCUCCAAGUGGCCAGGGUCUACGCAGGACUCAUUCAUUCUGCGCCACAGCAGAGUUGGCCUGCGUCUAGAGGCUGGUGAGAGUGGAGACGGGUGGCUUCUCGCAGAGGACAUGCGCUACAAUUUGGCGCACGGCAGAACAAGGUCGGUUGUGGAGCGCACCAUCGGACUGCUGAAGGGCAGGUGGUGUUGCCUUGAUGCAUCAGGUGUAAAACUCCUCUACAAGCCAGAGAAGGUGACACGCAUAAUACUGGCAUGUGGUGUGCUCCACAACAUAGCUGAGGCAUGGUAUUGAAAUGGAUGUGGAGAUUAGAAUGGACCCCCAAGAGCUUCCAAACCCACCACCCAAUGGAGCACCUGCCCCGGCUGAUGCAGUGAGAAGGAGGCGGCAGCUCAGAGAUUGCUGGACUGAAGCGGUCACCACGCGACCUGUAGAUGUGGACGCAGACGUGGAUGGACCCUCGGCACCUGUGGCCAAACCUUCCCCCUCACUCCUGGCACCUGCUGAUUUGGGAGCCUCACACACUUUAUCCCUGGGUUGAGGGCG